rnacentral:rRNA from 1 species
AGCGAACGCUGGCGGCAGGCCUAACACAUGCAAGUCGAACGGCCCCAUCGUGGUUGCUUGCGCUCGGGUGAGUCGCGUGUCGGAACGUGCCUUUAGGCUCGGGAUACUACAGUGUCGCUUGUGCUAAUACCGAAUGUGUUCCUCGGGUACCAGAUUUAUCGCCUUUAGAGCGGCCCGCGACUGAUUAGCUAGUUGGUGGUGGUUAUGGCGCACCAAGGCGACGAUCAGUAGCUGGUAUGAGAGGAUGAUCAGCCACAUUGGGACGGAGACACGGCCCAAACUCCUACGGGAGGCAGCAGUGGGGAAUCUUGCGAAAUGGGCGAAAGGCAGACGCAGCCAUGCCGGGUGAAUGAUGAAGUUGGUAGGAUAGUAAAAUUCUUUCACCGGGGACGAUAAUGACGGUACCCGGAGAAGAAGCCCCGGCUAACUUCGUG